rnacentral:rRNA from 1 species
ACACCCACCAACGCCCGGGUACUACGAGCCCCAGCUUAAAACCCAAAGGACUUGACGGUGUCCCACCCACCUAGAGGAGCCUGUUCUAUAAUCGAUAAUCCCCGCUAAACCCAACCCCCCCUUGCAAUCAGCCUGUAUACCUCCGUCGUAACCUUACCACAUGAGUGCCCUCAGUAAGGCUAAUGAUCACAAAACAUCAAUACGUCAGGUCAAGGUGCAGCUCAUGGAGAGGUAAGCAAUGGGCUACAAUUUCUAAUCUAGAACAAACGAAACACUGUAUGAAACUCAGUUAUGAAGGCGGAUUUAGUAGUAAAAAGAAAGUAGCGUGUUCUUUUUAACUAGGCCCUGGGACGUGUACACACCGCCCGUCACCC